AUGCCGAAGGAUCAGAGAGAAGAAAAGGGAAUGGAGUUUUCUGGGACAGUGUUGGAGACAGGCACAGAUGUCAGCACAGUUAAAGAGGACCUGUGGCAGAUUCCAGAAAAGGUCUCCCUACAAGAAGCUGCUGUCCUCCCUAUAACUUGUGGCACUGCAAUUUUUGCUCUUGAGCAUCGGGCCCAUUCCCAGCCUGGGUUUCGGAAGUAG
rnacentral:lncRNA from 1 species